AUACUUACCUGGCAGGGGAGAUACCAUGAUCACGAAGGUGGUUUUCCCAGGGCGAGGCUUAUCUAUUGCACUCUGGAUGUGCUGACCCCUGUUAUUUCCCCAAAUGUGGGAAACUCGACUGCAUAAUUUGUGGUAGUGGGGGACUGCAUUUGCGCUCUCCUC
rnacentral:snRNA from 1 species